AUCUAUGGCCAUGCCACCCUGAACAAGCCCGAUCCCGUCUGAUCUCAGAAGCUAAGCAGGGUGGGGCCUGGUUAGUACUUGGAUGGGAGACCACGUAGGAAGACCGGGUGCUGUAGGCG
rnacentral:rRNA from 1 species